rnacentral:misc_RNA from 1 species
GAAUUUAACUCAGUCCAUAUGGUUCCAGAGAUUAUAAUAACAUCAACUUACAAAAGAAUACAUUGAACAAAUUACAAUUUCUUUUAUGACUCAAUGGCAAGCACCUACAAAAAUCAAAAUCCUUUGCAAACUAUUUACACUGAAAUGAGAAAUAACUCAAUUUGGAAGGGAAGAUUUUUUUAAAAUAAUAAUAAUAACUAUACUGGGAAAAUAUUUCCUCCCUAAAAAUUCAAUUUGUGGUUGCAUCAUUAUUAGUGGAUUUGUUAGACCACUGGAACUCUAUUUCCAAAUUCCUUGAGGGCCCACUUUUGCUUUCAGGCAACAGAGUAUACUCUCCAGCAACUGCUCCUAGCAUUACAACCCGAUCAAUCUGGAU